GAUGAACGCUGGCGGCGUGCCUAAUACAUGCAAGUCGAGCGAACAGACGAGGAGCUUGCUCCUCUGACGUUAGCGGCGGACGGGUGAGUAACACGUGGAUAACCUACCUAUAAGACUGGGAUAACCUCGGGAAACCGGAGCUAAUACCGGAUAAUAUAUUGAACCGCAUGGUUCAAUAGUGAAAGACGGUUUUGCUGUCACUUAUAGAUGGAUCCGCGCCGCAUUAGCUAGUUGGUAAGGUAACGGCUUACCAAGGCAACGAUGCGUAGCCGACCUGAGAGGGUGAUCGGCCACACUGGAACUGAGACACGGUCCAGACUCCUACGGGAGGCAGCAGUAGGGAAUCUUCCGCAAUGGGCGAAAGCCUGACGGAGCAACGCCGCGUGAGUGAUGAAGGUCUUUGGAUCGUAAAACUCUGUUAUUAGGGAAGAACAAAUGUGUAAGUAACUAUGCACGUCUUGACGGUACCUAAUCAGAAAGCCACGGCUAACUACGUG
rnacentral:rRNA from 1 species